rfam:Candidatus Campbellbacteria bacterium RIFOXYC2_FTLL_35_25 rifoxyc2_full_scaffold_64, whole genome shotgun sequence.
GGAGAGGUGGCUGAGUGGUUUAAGGUGCUCGCUUGGAAAGCGAGUGUGGGGCAACCCACCGCAGGUUCAAAUCCUGUCCUCUCCG